UUUUUCCUGCACUCUGUUCUCCCUCCUUUCCUCCCCCUUUCUCCUGUUUCAUUUCCACCUCUUUUCUCUCCUCUCUCCUCUGAAUCUGCCUCUUCCUCUUCUCACUUUCCUCUUCCUUCCCUGUCUCUCCCCCUUGGGUCUCUCUUCCUUCCCUCUCUCCGUUUUCUCUGUCUCUGCCCUGUCCUUUCCUUUCCCUCCUCUCGGGACCAGUCUCCUCUCCUGGCUCUCUCUCCCUCUCUCUCCUCCGAGCUCUCACUCAAACUGGCCUCCCUCCGGGGAGCCCCAUCUCUUCCGCCUCCGGCUGGCCACUGCAUCCCUGCCUGGUGGGCCUUUGCCUCCCUCUCCCAUUCCUGCCUUGCCUGCUCCCACGUUUCCAGGUCCUGACCAGGAGGCAGGAGUCCACACCGAUGCCCAAACAGGCUAGCCCUGAGCAGGGCCCCCAAGCCUGAGGCCCAGGGGUGGACCACCUUUCUGACACCCAUUCUCUCUUUCUUUUCUAUCUGGAACUCUGGACACUGCCUGGAGGAAUCGGGCUUGCCCUAGGCCCAGGAAGGCGGAAACAAAGAAGAGGCUCACAGACAGGAAGCAACUUGCCUAAAGACACACAGCAGAGAUGAGAAAAACGGCGCCCAGUGUUUCUGAAGACCAGCAACGGCUAGGACAGAGACCAAGGGAACCCGACCUUGCCUGAAGGACCAACAGCGCCCCCUGCAGGACACUUUCCUCCAUGGACAGAAGCCACAGGGGCCGGUCUGAGUGCGUGGAAUCCUCUAUCACCACCUCCUGGCAAAGAAUGGAGCUGCAACCCAGUUGUAUGAGACACCGAGAAUGAUCCCAACAAAAACGAACAGUGACCUGAAUGCCUGGGGGAGGAACAGGGGAUACUGGGUGGAAGGAGGGGACAGGGAGAAGUUGUAACAUUUUGUAAAAAUGAACAUUUUUACUCCUAAUCAAUAUAUAAACAUCAUGCUCAGCAAA